ACUUUCAGUCACUCGUGGAUAGACUACCUCAGGUACGGAGAUGGGAUAGGGAAGCUGGGUAUAAGACCCGCUAGAUCUCGAAUGGAGGAAUGCAUCGAGAGUAAAAGAAAGGGCCCCCCGAGGGUGGGUGGGUGGCCUAUCAGGUAGUAGUGGGUGUAGGGUACGUCCCAGCAAGCCUGUGGUCGGGGCGGUGAGAGCAAGCAACAGGCGAGAGAUUGUGUGACAGGCACGCAGCCCGUCCGUGGGGCAGCCAGCAGGCAAGCUUUCCAUGCAUGGCAGCAGCGAUAAGCGAGCCUCGUGUGACAGGUUGCAAAUCUGGCUGUUGCAAUGCUUAAAAAACACGUCAUAGCAAGGGCCGGGCAAGACCGGUGCCAGCCGCCGCGGUAACACCGGCGGCUCGAGUGGUAACCGUUAUUAUUGGGUUUAAAGGGUUUGUAGCCGGCCGGAUAAGUCUCUGGGGAAAUCUGGCAGCUUAACCGUCAGGCUUUCCGGAGAUACUGUCAGACUAGAGACCGGGAGAGGUGAGAGGUACUUCAGGGGUAGGGGUGAAAUCUUGUAAUCCUUGAAGGACCACCAGUGGCGAAGGCGUCUCACCAGAACGGACCUGACAGCAAGGGACGAAAGCUAGGGGCGCGAACCGGAUUAGAUACCCGGGUAGUCCCAGCCGUAAACGAUACUCGUUAGGUGUCUCGCACGGCGCGACUCUCGUCGGUGCCGUAGGGAAAUCGUGAAGCGAGCCACCUGGGAAGUACGGUCGCAAGGCUGAAACUUAAAGGAAUUGGCGGGGGAGCAC
rnacentral:rRNA from 1 species